UGUUGAGUACGCUUUAAACCAACUGUUUGUGGUUUACGUUAACUACUUUAUUCUUUAGUUAAGUAACCUUUGUGGUUACUUAAGUUCACUUAGGGUUGAUGAACAAACUGACAGUGUAGUUUAGUAAUGUAUAGUUCUAAUGUAUAGUUUAGAACUAUACAGGUUACUUACUGUGUAGAGUAAUUUGUUGAAGUACACUGAACUGUGUAGUGUAUACUUUUACCUGAAUAAACAGUUACCAGAACAUACAUACUCUAUGUAUUCCCUGUCCCAAGUAUACUUUAUACUUUACAUAUAGUUCUGUCAGUAGUUUUUACAGUAUAAACAGUUACACUAAACUAAGAUACAUAUCAGAACAACUUACCUAAAACGAAAACUGGUUACUUAUGUACUUAAGUAGUGUAAACUACAAACUUUGUAAUCCCUUGAAACAUACAUGUUCUAUGUAGUUUGUCUACAGUUUAGUUUUAGUUUAGAACUAUACAUAUUUAAACAUCUUAAAGUAAAAGCUUAAACAGUUUAAUGAUCAGAAUAGUUUUUACAAACUACAAAAGUAAAUCAUCCAUGAUUUUACUUGCUUACUUGACAUUGUGAUUAGACUUUGUCUAUCUGAUCAUGAGUUAGUACUCUACUUAUUGGUAUAUAAUCAGUACAUUCUCAAUCUGUAAAUUUUAUAGCAUACUUUAACCAUUACUUGAUCAUUGGAUAUUACAUGAUUUAUUUGGUAAUAUGAAUCUGAAAAUCAUUCUGAUUUUACGUCAAGACUAUGCUGAGAAGUGUAUAUACCAACUUUUUCACUGAGAGAUAACUGAGUCUUUAAUCAGAGAGUAAAGAUCUGGAGUACACUUUAGAUAACUGUCUAAUUUGAGUAAAUUUUUAAAGAAAACAAGGAGUAUAAUUACCUGCUGGAGAUUAAUCUAGAUUGUUAAAUUUGGUAUGAGUCUAGAGAAACUAGAGCAAUCUAGAUCCUGACAAGUUUAAUUACUGUAACUACACAAGUUUUAGCUUAAUCUCAAGCUUGGACAAAAUUGUUGGUUUAGAUUAAUAUCUCAAUAUAAAUUUUGUAAACUAAUCAAUGCUUAGAUCCUGUCAGAUUUAGAAUAUAAUCAAGUGGUUGUCAGUUUUUAGAUAAUCUAGAGGUCAUGUUUACUUUUUGUAAACUCAACCAAACAGGCAGAAUUUAGGUCUAAGAUUAUGAAGUUUGACAUUAAACUGAUUUAGUAAGUGCUCUCAGACUUCAAACUAUAGAAUGUCUAGUAGUUGAUAGAGAUCUGUUUAGUUUUGACUGAAACAUGUAGACAGACAGACAUAAACUCCUAAAUUUUACAUUAGGAUAAAUCUAAAAUUGAGAUUUGAGUUAUGUAGAAUUACUAUGAUUUAAUCUACACUAAUCAAUACAUUAGUUCCACAUUGCUUCAUGUUAAAUCUGAGGACUUUGAAAACAUGUUUGUUAGCUGUUAAUUGAGUAUGUUAACAUUUGAGAUUUGUAAACUUUUGAUUAAACACCUGUAAGAUCUGACUGUACAGUCAAAGAUCCAAUGACAUACAUAUACAGAUCUAAAAACAUGCUUAAUAUCAACUGAACUUUGAUGCAUUUUUACAGUUUAAAUGUAUAACUAGUUAGUUUAGUUUUACAGUAAACUUACAAACUAACUUAAAGUACUAGAACUAUUUCAAUAGAUUAUAAACCUUACAAUCAUUAGAUCUGUUGAAGUAGGGUACAGUUUAAAAACUACCUAAAUGUAGAUUAAAUCAAAAGCAUUUAAACUAGAUUUAGAUCUAAACUUUGUAGUUCAGUACUAUAAAAUAGAUUUCAAACUGUAGCAUUACAUUAACAACUGAAAACUGAUAUAAAAAUCUCUGCUUUAUAAAUUUAACUAUGAAUUAUUUAAACAUCACUGUAGUUACAAAACUUGAUUUCCUCCAGAAAACAGAAAACUAACACUCAAAUUUGUAACUAAAUUUGAUGUUUGUAACUUUCCACAAAUCUACAUUACUAAGAUUACUACUUUCAACUCAUAAGAGAAACAAUUUCUGAGUAAACUAGGUGACUCAACUCAAAACAAACAAUCUAUGUUUAGUUAGAGUUGAGAACUUUGUGUUAUAGUACUAUAACUAUUAACACAAUCAUUUAAUUAGUUUCUCUAACAAUGAAACAGUUAAACUACAACAAUGAACUUAAUAGUUAAAUCUAGUUUGUUUUAAAAGAGAGAAACUAAUUCAGGUUAACAAAAACAUGACUUUGAUGUUUAAACCAGGAAACUUCUUGUUUUUAUUCAGUUAUAUGAAUGUUUUACAUAGUAAGUAAGUGUGAAUAAACAAUAGUGUACAAUCCAUAAAGACACUAUUGUUUGCAUUGAAACUGUUUGAGACAGAACACCCAUUUUUUGAGAAUGUACAUUUUAAUGUUUGUAAAUUCAAAAGUUUCUAUAACAAAUUUGUCUAAACCUAUAAACACUGUAGCUGUCACAUUGUACACAACACUGAACUCCUGUGAGUAGUUUAGUACAGCCAAAUCAAUCAUCUCCAUCUGAUGUUCAUGAUCUAUGCCAAAACUUAAAUCAAUACCUUAUCUCAUCUAGAGACAAACUUAGCACAUGGGAUCUUUUAUAAACACAAAUCUCACUACUGACCACUUAGUACAGCAUGAGAAGGCAAAUACACCAUAUUUAUUGAAAAUAAACAGCAGAUGCUUUUCAGUCACACAACAUACACACACAUUCUGCAGGUGGUCUUUGUUGUAGCUCAAGUCAGACUGGUAACUAUAAUCUAAUGGCCAGUUUGAGCAUGAGUGAGGAGCUAGGCUCUGUCAGUUGCAAUCCAAGGCUUUGCAGGACUGAACUCGGCGUUCCAUGGCAAAACACCCCAUCUUUAUGUGACUCAAUGAUUACAGGAUGACAUUGCAAAAUGCAUGGAGUCCUUAAGUGGUGUUAAUCUUGGUUUUCUGCUGUUAAUGAGGGGAAGCCAGACAAUAACCAUCAAAUGACAUCUCCUAUUUGUCAUCUUGCCUUCAGGGGUGCCUGCCUCGCCUCUGAGGUCAUCGGUGCUGCUAACAUGUUUGUCUCCUGGUGUUUAGCCUUGGAUAUUUUCCGAUAGAUACAAUGGAAAGUCUCUCACUUUUCCUGACGCGUGCAUUCCUCUUUGAAGGUUUCUGUGAGAGAGACUGUUUGUGAUGGCUUUCACAUCUUAUCUUUUUCUUGGACAAAGGUAUACAGAAUACAUAAAUAGAUUAGAGAAACGUUGAGGGCCUGAAGCGCCAAUGUGAACUGUUUGUAUUACAAAGACAAAAUCCUGAGUGACUGUCUAAGGUUUAGUAAGAUAGUUAUAGGAAACCAGUGUAAGUAAACUAAUCCAGACUUAUAUAGAUUUAGCAAAAGUAAACAGUCAGAACGUCUAUAGUUAUCCUACUAAAACAAAAGGGUGACCAUAAGGAUGGUUAAGUUGUUCUGGUCGGUCCCUGCCUUAUUGGUACAGACACUGGCAGUCUAGCAGAAAGGAAUGCAUCUGACAUUCAAUGUAUGUCUUUAUAGAUUCAAAAAGGGUGGCCGGUAAAAUAUGAUUAUAAAAUACUGCUCCUACAAGAAUAAAGGUACUAACUUUGUGACAAAAGAGAAAGUACAGCACAAGAUUUGUACAUGUACAACAAUACUAUAAAGUUGAAAACUAAAGUAGAAUCCUAAAUUACUGGAUGAUCAGUUCAACUGAUCCAAACAAAUACUUGUUAGAGUUUUUACUUCAAAUUCAAGUAGAAAUUGAUUAGUACUGACACAGACAAACCCUUAUUGUAAACAUUUAAGGAUUUGAGUGUUUUGAGAAAUACCAUUAACUUAAAAGUAACUUACACAGAUUCAAAAGUGUAGAGUAGAUAUCAAAACCUUUUGGUAAUGAGAUUUUUCACAAAGAUGAUGUCUUUUUAAUCAAGUGUACCUGUAAAGUAGUAAAAUCUGAACAGGGACUGUAAACUAACAUAUCUGGUUGUGAUUUGUGAGAUUUCUUACUACAAAAGAUGAUAAUUGGAUGAGGUGUAGAUGGAAUCUGAAACACUAAAUCUAUCAUAAGUAAGAGUACAAAAGUGAGAUCCAGUUUUAGAUGAGAUUCUCUAGUAUUAGAAAGUUUUGACCACUUAAUGAGUCAGUACAGAUCAAAAUGUUUGCUUAAUUCCAAAUUUAAGAAGUAGAAAAGUAAAACUGUCACUUAUAGUAUUUGUUUCAGUUUAGUCACUUGACAUUAAUAUUCAGGUCAAUAAGUUAUGAGAUUUAACUAAAAGUUUUGUCUGUAAAGUAUCUGACAAACAGUGACUCAGUUUUUGAGAGAGUUUGUAGUUACUUGGUUUUAAAGAAGUAGAUUAAUCUAAACUGUUGUUUUUUAAAAACCGGUCAAGCAGAAUAUAACCCUAUCCUGUAAAUGCAGACACAGAAUGCUACUACUCUAUGCUUAAGAUGAGUUUAAAGUGAUGAUGGUUUUGAUAAACUAUGACAGAAGUAAGUAAACUAAAACAGUUUUAAAGAAUCUUAUCCUUUACUAUGUUACCAAGAUAUCCUGUCAACUAACAAAGCAUCUUACAAAUGCUUUGAAAACACAGAAGUGUUAAGCAUACUCCUACUACUGUUUAAAUCUAAUCUGGAAAGUAACUAUAUCACUUUGGUAUACCAAUCAACUUUAGUAUAAUGAAAUCAACAUCUGAAGAUUAGUGUCAAAUCUUAUGACUAAUCUUCAGAAGAUGGAUAUAUCCAUGUCUCAGUUUCGAGUCAUGUGCAUUAGUCUCUUAAGUGCACUUUAAUGCACUUUGAAUAUUAUCCUAAUCAUCAUAAUGUUUGCUUUGAAUUUGGCUGAACUCAACUGUUUGGAAAACAGGUUUGUUAAUUGUGUGAAAACUAAACAAAAGAACAAACUAAAUGACAAUCUUUAACCUUUGGAUAUCAACUACAAAAACGUCUAGUUUUGUAAUAAUAGUUCAAUCUAUGGACAGUGAUUACUGAUUCUGAUAACUGUCAUCUGAUUGAAUGUUAAACUCCACAUUAGAAAAAUCACAUGACAGAGAAUCUAGGAUGUUUGUUCACUAACAUCCUAGAUUCUUUGUCAUCUGAUUAAAUACUGAUUAGAAUAAUAAACUCUACAAUCAGAUGACAUAGUGAACAAUCACUGUCCAUAGAUUCUGAUAACUGUUAGUUUGGUAACAUCCUAUCAACAUCAAGAUCUAGGAUGUUACAUUGAUUGUUUUUCUAGUGUGAUAGUUUGGUAUUUGGGCAUGUGUUGUUAAAAGGUGCCACUGGACUCAGUUAACUACUGGUAGUAAAGCAAAAUAACUUUUACCCACAAAAGCUUAUUGGAUCAAUACCCUUAAACACAUAAACCACUUCUUCAGAUGCAAUGUUACAACAACAGUCUCACAUUUGUUCACCAAUCCUCAACUUUGAUAAGAUCAGAUACUGAUAAUCUUGAGUUUGAUAACAGUCUCAACACUGAUGUAUUUCCUGAUAUCUAACUAGUUACAAAUGCUGAAUAUCCUGAAUACAAAGCACCUCAACACUUCAACUAUUUGUAUCUCACAGAUCUAUAUAGUCUGAAAGUUCAGCAAUUAACAUGUUGCUCUGAGUUUGAUUCUUUCCUUGUCAGUAAGUUUGUUAACAAACUUUAAGAUUAAAACUUGUUAGUCGACUAAAACUGAUUUUGACUGAUAUCUUGAGACAAAUCUUGUUUUCAGUAAGAUCCUAGAAUAUCAUCUGAUAAAACAUCAGGUAAUAUUACAUUUUAUCACCCUACAUAGUUAAUAUAAAACUGUUAAAUUGAUUAUGUUUGCUAUAUUUAUAACUAACUAUGUAGGGUGAUCUAGUUUUAUAUUACCUGGAUUUACUGUUAGACAAACAUGUCUACAUCAUUCUUGGAUGAGUUCGAUGAGAGAGUGUAUUAGAUAAGAUUUUUCACUCUGAUCUUUAACUGGUUGAUAUGUUUGUUUCUUAGAUUAAUCAAACUCAGAAGUAAAUCAGUUGUUAUGCAGACUUGAUCAGUUUUCAAAAUAUUCUCAAAUUGUUUUAACACUUUCAGUGUAACUGAAAAACGAUAGUUGGAGAUGUUCUCUAGUGUUUCGUUUAAACACUAAAUUUAAACACCCACAUGAAUAAGGUUGAACAACCCUGAUUGUUAUUAUACACUUAGUUCCUCUAAACUCAGUUAAUAACUACACUUUAUCAAAAGAACCAGAGAAAUAACACAAAUGGUGUUGUAAAAUCUAAGAUCAAAGUGUGUUUGUUUACGAACUAAAUUUUUUUCACAAGGAUGUUUACUUUAAUACUUUAGAGGAUUGAGGUAGUAGAAAUUGUUCAAAUCUGUAUGUUUGUGUAACAGACUGAUUUGUUAAGAUUUGAUAAAGUGUUCUGUAGUGAAAUGUUUAUGAACUAAAUAAAUACAUUACCACAA